CGACAAUGUUUUCAUGAAUGUGGACUUGGACAAAUACCACAUAUAUAUUAGUAGGCCAGCAUUUAUUAUAAUUUGUCAGUAUGGAUUGAUGUUUUAAAUAGUCAUUGGAGUUGACUUUUAAGCCUACCAUUACCAUGAUAACUGUGACUGCAUAUAAGAAUUGGAAUUAAUUUUGUCUUAUCUUAAUGUUAACAUACAGUUAGCCUACCGUGCAUGUUUUCAUUCAAAGGACACAGCUUUCAAUAAAGUUCAUCACAUUGAGCUAGCACUUGAUAACAACUGUUGUGCUAUUCUUGGUAUGUGAGACUUACCUGCUGCAUUUGAAGUUAUUGACCAGCUGAUUCUGAUUGAACAUCUUGAAUACUUCUACAGAAUAUCUGUUAUGCCAUUUCAUUGACAAGAUUUUACUGAAGCAACUGAACAUAAACUAUCACAAAACUCUCUAUUAAGAUUACCACAAGGUUCUCUAUUAGGAUAACCACAAGGCUCUCAAUUAGGAUUACCACAAGGCUCUCAAUUAGGAUUACCACAAGGCUCUCAAUUAGGAUUACCACAAGGCUCUCAAUUAGGAUUACCUGACAAGGCUCUCAUUAGAAUUACAACAAGGCUCUGUAUAAGGAUAACCACAAGGCUCUCUAUUAAGAUUACCACAAGGCUUUCAAUUAGGAUUACCACAAGGCUCUCAAUUAGGAUUACCACAAGGCUCUCAAUUAGGUUUAACACAAGGCUCUCAAUUAGGAUUACCACAAGGCUCUCUAUUAGGAUUACCAUUAGCCUCUCAAUUAGGAUUACCACAAGGCUCUCUAUUAGGAUUACCACAAGGCUCUCUAUUAAGAUUACAACAAGGCUCUGUAUGAGGAUUACCACAAGGCUGGUUUGACAUAUAUAAUUGCAUAGAUGAGUUCAAAUUAGAUAUGCUUACAGUAAAUCAAGACAAUACUGAACAUAUUGUUUUUGCUCUUAAGCAACUAAAAAUGGACAUAUUAGAUUUCUGGCUUGCUUUCGUUGAAUCUUCAGUGUGUAAUGCUUAAUUUGUUAAUAGGUAUAUUAUAUUUAUACAGUUGUAAUGAUUAUUCAUUCUGUAAUUUUAUGUAGUUUUAUUGUAUCAACCUUUUUAUUUUAUCUGAUGUGACAUAUUUUAGUUUGUUAAUUGACAAGAUUAUUCAACAUUUCAUGACAUAUAUAAGUGUGAUUUGAAAAUAGCCCCGUCCCCUCAGACAACCAUUUCAAUUUUUUAAAUGAUAUUUUGAAAUCUAGUAUAAA